GAUGAACGCUAGCUACAGGCUUAACACAUGCAAGUCGAGGGGCAGCAUGGAGUUUGCUUGCAAACUCUGAUGGCGACCGGCGCACGGGUGAGUAACGCGUAUCCAACCUGCCCAUUACUCGGGCAUAGCCCAGUGAAAACUGGAUUAACUCCCGAUGCUGUUCUGAUUGGGCAUCUUAUCAGGACAAAAGUUUACGGUAAUGGAUGGGGAUGCGUCUGAUUAGGUAGUAGGCGGGGUAACGGCCCACCUAGCCGACGAUCAGUAGGGGUUCUGAGAGGAAGGUCCCCCACACUGGAACUGAGACACGGUCCAGACUCCUACGGGAGGCAGCAGUGAGGAAUAUUGGGUCAAUGGGCGAGAGCCUGAACCAGCCAAGUAGCGUGCAGGAAGACGGCCCUAUGGGUUGUAAACUGCUUUUAUGCGGGAAUAAGAUCAGAAGACGGUACCACUUGAAUAAGCCACGGCUAAACUACGUG
rnacentral:rRNA from 1 species